rnacentral:rRNA from 1 species
GAUGAACGCUGGCGGCGUGCUUAACACAUGCAAGUCGAACGAUGAAAGCGAGAGCUUGCCCUUGCUGGAUUAGUGGCGAACGGUUGAGUAACACGUGAGCAAUCUGCCCCGAACUCUGGGAUAAGCGUUGGAAACGACGUCUAAUACCGGAUACGACGCGCGAAGGCAUCUUCUGCGCGUGGAAAGAAUUUCGGUUCGGGAUGAGCUCGCGGCCUAUCAGCUAGUUGGUGAGGUAACGGCUCACCAAGGCGACGACGGGUAGCCGGCCUGGGAGGGUGACCGGCCACACUGGGACUGAGGCACGGCCCAGACUCCUACGGGAGGCGGCAGUGGGGAAUAUUGCACAAUGGGCGAAAGCCUGAGGCAGCAACGCCGCGUGAGGGACGACGGCCUUCGGGUUGUAAACCUCUUUUAGUAGGGAAGAAGCGAAAGUGACGGUACCUGCAGAAAAAGCACCGGCUAACUACGUGCCAGCAGCCGCAGUAACAC